AAGUUGCUUGGCGUUUUUCAGAGACAGGCGACGAAGGUCUGCAUCUGUUCCCGUGACUGUCUUUUUCACUGGCUGAGGCUCCUUAUCAUCCUAUCUCAAACAAAACAAGUGAAAAUGUGAAGCUGAACAGAGCAAAGAAGGACUUCUCUCCAUAGCCAGCAUCCUGAAAGAGGACAAUUCUACGUAUGAAGUCAACGGAAAAACACAAGUUGUCUCAAUGAAAAUGGCCUCCAUAGGCUCAGAGGGAGUGGCACUCCUGGGAGAUGUGGCCUUGUAGAGUAGGUGUGACCUUGUUGGAAGAAGUGUGUCAGUGCAAAUGGGCUUUGAGGUCUCAAAUGCACCAUGUCACACUCUCUUCCUGCUGCCUGCCAACCUGGAUGUAGAACUUCUGGACACCUCUUUAGCACCAUGUCUGCCUGCCUGUUAUCAUGCUUCCUGUCAUGAUGAUAAUGGACUAAACCUCUGAAACUGUAAGCCAA